rnacentral:rRNA from 1 species
GCCAUCGGAUGUGCCCAGAUGGGAUUAGCUAGUAGGUGGGGUAACGGCUCACCUAGGCGACGAUCCCUAGCUGGUCUGAGAGGAUGACCAGCCACACUGGAACUGAGACACGGUCCAGACUCCUACGGGAGGCAGCAGUGGGGAAUAUUGCACAAUGGGCGCAAGCCUGAUGCAGCCAUGCCGCGUGUAUGAAGAAGGCCUUCGGGUUGUAAAGUACUUUCAGCGAGGAGGAAGGUGUUGAAUUGACGUUACUCGCAGAAGAAGCACCGGCUAACUCCGUGCCAGCAGCCGCGGUAAUACGGAGGGUGCAAGCGUUAAUCGGAAUUACUGGGCGUAAAGCGCACGCAGGCGGUCUGUCAAGUCGGAUGUGAAAUCCCCGGGCUCAACCUGGGAACUGCAUCCGAAACUGGCAGGCUAGAGUCUUGUAGAGGGGGGUAGAAUUCAUGUAGCGGUGAAAUGCGUAGAGAU